GACGAACGCUGGCGGCGUGCUUAACACAUGCAAGUCGAACGGUAAGGCCCUUCGGGGUACACGAGUGGCGAACGGGUGAGUAACACGUGGGUGAUCUGCCCUGCACUUCGGGAUAAGCCUGGGAAACUGGGUCUAAUACCGGAUAGGACCACUGCCGGCAUGGGUGGUGGUGGAGAGCUUUUGCGGUGUGGGAUGGGCCCGCGGCCAACCAGAUUGUUGGUGGGGUGGGGGCCUACCAAGGCGACGACGGGUAGGCGGCCUGAGAGGGUGACCGGCCACACUGGGACUGAGAUACGGACCAGACUCCUACGGGAGGCAGCAGUGGGGAAUAUUGCACAAUGGGCGCAAGCCUGAUGCAGCGACGCCGCGUGAGGGAUGACGGCCUUCGGGUUGUAAACCUCUUUCAGCACCGACGAAGCGCAAGUGACGGUAGGUGCAGAAGAAGGACCGGCCAACUACGUGCCAGCCGCCGCCGUAA
rnacentral:rRNA from 1 species